rnacentral:rRNA from 1 species
AGAACGAACGCUGGCGGCAGGCUUAACACAUGCAAGUCGAACGCCCCGCAAGGGGAGUGGCAGACGGGUGAGUAACGCGUGGGAAUCUACCCAGAACUUCGGAACAACUGAGGGAAACUUCAGCUAAUACCGGAUACGCCCUACGGGGGAAAGAUUUAUCGGUUCUGGAUGAGCCCGCGUUGGAUUAGCUAGUUGGUGGGGUAAUGGCCUACCAAGGCGACGAUCCAUAGCUGGUCUGAGAGGAUGAUCAGCCACACUGGGACUGAGACACGGCCCAGACUCCUACGGGAGGCAGCAGUGGGGAAUAUUGGACAAUGGGCGAAAGCCUGAUCCAGCCAUGCCGCGUGAGUGAUGAAGGCCUUAGGGUUGUAAAGCUCUUUCAGUAGGGAAGAUAAUGACGGUACCUACAGAAGAAGCCCCGGCUAACUUCGCGCCAGCAGCCGC